UAAGAUUCCCCUUCACUAUUACACGUGCCAUCUUCUCCUUAUACUAAUCCUUAAUAAGCAUGACAAUGCUUAAACCCUCUCUGUAUAUAAAUAGACGUAAUGAGAAUGAAAUGUAUAUCUCUCAAUCCUCAUCAUUAUAUAAGAUUUCACUACCAAGCAAUUGCAGUCUUAUAUAAGAGCUUUCAGUUUCAUUUACAUAAUUUAUAUUAGUUUAUUAUAUAUAUGUUUUUAUUCUAUAACACGUUAUCAGCACGAGAUUUUGCUCGAUAGAGAUUUGUUAUUUUCGUAUUCUUCUUUCUAUUUUAUUUUACGAAAAUCCAGAUCCUCGUUCUAUUGUCGAAAUGACAAACGAGAAUGAUUAGCGAAUACUUCAGUAUUUUAUACGCUAUCAUUUCUCAAAGGAUAUGAUGGAUUCGUGUAUAUUAAUAUAUUGCUUAUUUAUUUGUUGAAUUGCUGCUGAAAUUUAUAUUUGCAAGCUUGUGGAUCCCAAGCAGUGCUAUAAGCACGUGUUAUGUUUAACAGAUCUGUGGGCCGACUUAGAGGCCAAGAUAUUCACUCCGAGCAUGAUGCUCGUCGAGUAAAAUAUAUAAUAAUCUCAGUUGAAAGUUGAUUUAGAGACUAUGAGAUUAACUCCGAGCAUAAGCUCGUUGAGUUGGGGAAAUAAUAAUCUCCGUUUAAAGCCGAUUUAGAGGCUAUCAACUCCGGGCAUAGUACCCGUAGAGCUUAACAGAGACCGUAUAGAGGUCAUACUAUAAUUCCGAGCGGAUAAACUCGUUGAAUUGAGACGUUGGAAUUCCCGUCAAAUAAAUAAAAUAUAGCUCCGAGUCUAAGCUCGUUGAGACAAGAAAGCCGAUAUAGAGGCUAAAUCGCUAAUAUAGCUCCGAGCCUAAGCUCGUUGAGACAAGAAAGCUGAUUUAGAGGCUAAACUGUUCAUAUAGCUCCGAGCAAAACUCGUUGAGACAAGAAAGCCGAUUUAGAGGCUAAAUCUUUAAUAUAGCUCCGAGUCUAAACUCGUUGAAGCAAGAAAGCCGAUUUAGUGGCUAAAUAUUUAAUAUAGCUCCGAGUCUAAACUCGUUAAGACAAUAAAGCCGAUUUAGAGGCUAAAUCACAAAUAUAACUCCGAGCCUGAAGCUUGUUGAGUCAAGACGUGAUAAUAUCCGUCAAAAGCCGAUUUAAAGGCCAAAUAUCUGAAUAUAUCUCCGAGCCUGAAGCUCGUUGAGUUAAGACGUGAUAAUAUCCGUCAAAAGCCGAUUUGAAGGCCAAAUAUCUGAAUACAUCUCCGAGCCUGAAGCUCGUUGAGUUAAGACGUGAUAAUAUCCAUCAAAAGCCGAUUUGAAGGCCAAAUAUCUGAAUAUAACUCCGACCUGAAGCUCGUUGAGUCAAGACGUGAUAAUAUCCGUCAAAAGCCGAUUUAAAGGCCAAUUAUUUGAAAAUAUCUCCGAGCCUGAAGCUCGUAGAGUCAUUAGACGAGGUAAAACCUGUCAAGAGCCAACUUAGAGGCUAUUAAUCACAAGCCCAAACUUAAAGGGUUAUGGGUUAUUUUGUACCCAGUGUAUAUGUAUCUCUCUCGAAAGGUGUGAUUACGAGAUUGAAUUAUUUUGUGUGUAUCCAUGUAUAAUCUCUCUUGGAUGGUGUGAUUCCCAAGAUUGAGUUGUUUUGAAUAAAC
rnacentral:lncRNA from 1 species